rnacentral:rRNA from 1 species
UGAGGAACAUGACCUUCGGCGGGGGAUAGCCGGCCCAACGGCCGGGUAAUACCGCGUACGACCACAUGGGGACAUCCCCGAGUGGUGAAAGCAGCAAUGCGCCGAUGGAGUGCCUCGCGGCCUAUCAGCUAGUUGGUGAGGUAACGGCUCACCAAGGCGACGACGGGUAGCUGGU